UAAAACAUGUUACUGUUUUUUUGUGUUCAUAUAGAUAUAUGUCCAGGACAAUCAUUCAUGUUACUUGGAACACUUUUGGAUGGGACAUUGCAGUUAAGACAAACAAUCAUAUUUUCUGUUUUCACUGUUGCAAAAGUUGAAUUGGCUAAUUAAA